UACGUAGGGGGCGAGCGUUGUCCGGAUUUAUUGGGCGUAAAGAGCGUGUAGGCGGCCAGAAAAGUCCGCUGUGAAAACUCGAGGCUCAACUUCGAGCUGUCGGUGGAAACUUUCUGGCUAGAGUCCGGAAGAGGAGAAUGGAAUUCCUGGUGUAGCGGUGAAAUGCGCAGAUAUCAGGAAGAACACCCGUGGCGAAGGCGGUUCUCUGGGACGGUACUGACGCUGAGACGCGAAAGCGUGGGGAGCGAACAGG
rnacentral:rRNA from 1 species